UACAGAGGUCCCAAGCGUUGUUCGGAUUUAUUGGGCGUAAAGGGAGCGUAGGCGGCAGGGUAAGUCAGGUGUUAAAAUUCGGCGCUCAACGCCGAAGCGCAUUUGAUACUGCCUUGCUAGAGGAGUGGAGAGGAGACAGGAAUUCACGGUGUAGCAGUGAAAUGCGUAGAUAUCAGGAGGAACACCGGUGGCGAAAGCGCUCAUCUGGCCCAAUACUGACGCUGAGACGCGAAAGCUAGGGGAGCAAACGGG
rnacentral:rRNA from 1 species